rnacentral:snoRNA from 1 species
GCGCAGCCAGUUAAGCCGACUGGCCUGCCUGCCAUGGGGGCCUGGUGUGCAAUGGCUGCGCACAGCACCCCCCCCAGUUGUGUACGUGCUUGGUAUAGAGCACCCUAAGGGACCGUGGGGACAUGG